rnacentral:lncRNA from 1 species
UUUUAGGUAAGGCUAAAAAAACAGACAGAAGUAAAGUUGAAGAUCAAAAUAGAACAAAUUUAUGAAGUUUCGUAAGCAUUCCUAUCAGCACGAAACAGGGUCUUCUGUUUGAUCUGCAGCAAGAAGAAAACACUGCUCCUCGACUACAUGAUGCACUUGGAGUCACGAGUGGAUUUGAAUGUCAGUGCCACCUUUUUCCUAGAAAACUUCAGACUCUACUGGACGGUGAUGUUACAGUCUCAGAGUCCUGUUACCUUCAUUUAGUGGUUACAACUGGAAGGAAUAUUUACGAUAGUGGAGGACAAAGGCAUGCGAAACACGUGGGGAAGGAAUGUGAUAAUCUAGGAAGCAUGGACUAUAUCAUAUUUUGGUAUUCUCAGAGUCUGGCAGCUAAAAGGCAUAUCUUAAGCAUUGGUGACACCAGUAGUGAGACCAGAAAGGAAGAUAUAUUCUGAAUGAGACCAAAAACAAAACUACAGGUAAAGGAGAAGAAGCAAUACUCCCCACAUUGCAUGAUGCAAGAGAAUAAGGACCACAUUGCUAAAACCUGCUGUAUUACACACACACACACACACACACACACACACACACACACCUUUGUAUUAGGGCACAGACUUAAUAUUUCUAAUUAUUUAUAAAUAUCUAAAUAUAUAGGUAUUUAUAUAUUUAUAAAUUUAUAUU